GAUGAACGCUAGCUACAGGCUUAACACAUGCAAGUCGAGGGGAAACGAUAUUGGAAGCUUGCUUCCGAUAGGCGUCAACCGGCGCACGGGUGAGUAACGCGUAUCCAACCUGCCCACCACUUGGGGAUAACCUUGCGAAAGUAAGACUAAUACCCAAUGAUAUCUCAAGAAGACAUCUGAAUGAGAUUAAAGAUUUAUCGGUGAUGGAUGGGGAUGCGUCUGAUUAGCUUGUUGGCGGGGUAACGGCCCACCAAGGCGACGAUCAGUAGGGGUUCUGAGAGGAAGGUCCCCCACAUUGGAACUGAGACACGGUCCAAACUCCUACGGGAGGCAGCAGUGGGGAAUAUUGGUCAAUGGGCGAGAGCCUGAACCAGCCAAGUAGCGUGCAGGAUGACGGCCCUAUGGGUUGUAAACUGCUUUUAUAAGGGAAUAAAGUGAGCCUCGUGAGGCUUUUUGCAUGUACCUUAUGAAUAAGGACCGGCUAAUUCCGUGCCAGCCGCCGCCGUAA
rnacentral:rRNA from 1 species